rnacentral:lncRNA from 1 species
UGGAUCUCUGGGGAAUUCUUCCAUAUUUCCCGUGAUGUAGUACAGAGAACAUCGUAAAGUCCCUUCUAUAUGUCCUCCUUGAGCAGCUUUAUAGAAAUAUUGUGCAGCUACUGUUUGAUUUCUACCGGGUACUCCAGGGUAAAUCCCAUCUAAAUAAAGGACUCCAAGAUUGUAGGAUGCAUCUGCAUUUCCCAGUUCUUCAGCAAUUAACCAGUGCUUGGCUGCUUUUCUGUAGUCUCUUCUAAAAUUGUGGUAAUACCAUCCCAGUCCAUUCACCGCUUGGGGCAGGCCCUUGGCUGCUGCUUUCUUCAUCAGUUCUAAAGCAAGUUUUAUGUUCUUUUUCACACCUUGGCCCUUAAACAACACAAUGGCAUAAUCAUAUAUUAACACUGGAUCUUCUGUUUCUAUUGCACCCUUUGCAUACCAUUCUAUUGCUGCUUCAGGAUUUUU